CCACUAGGUACUUAGGAGGCUGAGACAGGAGGAUCACCAUGAGUUCGAAGCCAGCCUGGGCCAUUGAGUGAUUUAAGACCUCCUGAACUACAUAGUGAGACCCUGACUCAGGAGAGAAAACCCAAUGGUGUCCCUGGGAUUUGGGAAACACACACUCCACAGCCACCUGACAGGAGGGGCUCAGGAAGCGCGGAAAUCAAAGCUUGGAGAAACUCUCCCAUCAAUCCGCACUGAACCCUGGCCAGGCGCUCGGAACAGCUCAAUACCUUCUCCUGGCAGAGCCGGGCCGCCCCGAUGCCGGGGCACUGUCUACACUUGGGCUGCUGGCUGCCUCCCCGAAGUGUCCACGCCUGGCUCCGAGGCCGCCUCUGCAGCGUCCUGUCCUGGGCCUCCAGACCCCGCUCAGUCUUCAGCGCGCAGGGCCUCACCCACCAGCGCCCUGGCCUUCCCGACUCCACCGGGCCCCAGGAGGGUCCCGGCCAGGCCUCUCCUCACCGCCUGCUCUCCUCCAGGGCAGCGGCCGCAGGAACGACUGCCGGGACCUCGGCCUCGGGAGAAGGCAAGAACCACGGAGGACAGGACGGAGAGCCGCGAGGAGAGGCUCACGCCAGCGACGUCGCACGCACGACCGAACGGGAGGGGGCGCCGACAACCCCGCCUUCCACACACUCCAACCUCAGGCGCCCUCCCACCGCAGAAACGCAGUCUUUCAAAAGAACCCAGCCAGGGCCUGGGAUUUAGCUCAGUGGUUCCGCCGCCUGCCUUGCAAGCUGGAAAGGACUCGGGACCACACUGCGGGGCCUCCGCGGAGCAGGCAGCCCAGCCGCCAACGGCCACCGCCAGGGCCUCCUCCCCGGGGACGGGACGACGGAACACUUCCGGUCAGGGAAGCUGAGGGUCCCAUCAUUCCGAGUCCUCAGCAAACGGCACUUUUGAGAAGACCGAAGUGCAGGCUGCACCAGAGCAGGGAGGGCCGGGUCCGAGUGUGGAGUCACUCACAGGCCCUGAGGGUCAGCGCGGAGCACAGCGGAGCCACACCGAUAGUAGCAGGGUUAACUGAGACAUUAUUUCCUUUAACCCAAUGUGCACAAAUUAUUACUUCAGUGUGUCAGUAAUAAACAAUUACUUAUUAGGUAAGUAAUAAGAUUUUUGUUUGUUUGUUUUGUUUGAUACCAGGGAUCGAACUCAGGACCUUGUGCUUUCAAGGCAGGUGCCAGAACCACUGAGCUAAAUCCCCAGCCCUAUUUUUUGUUUUUUGAGACAGGGUCUCACUAUGUAGUCCAGGCUGGCCUUGAACUCACUAUGGAUCCCAGGCUGACCUCCAACUCAUGGAGAUCCUCCUGCCUCAGCCUCCUGGGAUUACUGGUAUGUGCCACCACACCCAGGUUAAUAAAGCAUUUAAAUCCCCUGAACACCUAGUGUGCUUUGCAGUCACUCAGGGUCUCUGUCCCAACUAGGCCCUGCCAGUGCCAUGGUAAGAGCCCCGCUUCAGCUUUCGAAUGGCUCACUGUGUAGACAGAGGCGCUGGCUGGGGUUCUGGGGAGACCCCUGAUGGCGUCGCCAGGAGACACCGGUCUGUCAGUCCUGCAGCCCGUGCCUUCUGUCAAAGCAGCUGCAGGGCGCAGUGGGCGGCCCUGCCCCAGAGCAGCUCACAGGCCCACAGCACCGGCUCAGGGUGGGUUCCAUCCCAACCCCCCAAAAUAAAUAAACAAACGGGAGGUCUCCAAAGGUACUAAAGCCCCUCUAUUUGCACCAGAACAUAAAAUGGGCCUUUAAGAAUGACCCAAAUCUACACGAAGACCCCUAAGAAGACAACGGUUCCACGAUCUCAGACAUGAG
rnacentral:lncRNA from 1 species